GGCUCCAGAGCCUGGCACUCUCAUUUUUUAUUGAAACUAGGGAAAUAAACUUCCUUUUUUCAGAAAUUCAUUCCCUGGCCAACUUUUCUGGACUGUAUCUAGUCUGCAAAGCAAGAGACAUCCAUAUUUUCUUCCAUGGGCCACCUUCACCCAGAUGUCACUGCUUUGCCCAAACAUACCGGAUUAUUUCUCAUGCCCUUUGCUUGAAUCCAAGAAUGAGUUAAAUGGCAGCGGCAACCAUUCGUGAAUGCAGCUUACUCAAGAUGUGAUAAAAACCAGUUCCUUGAAGGGCAAGAUAACCCCCCACCUCCUCUUCCAAGACACUAUUUGGGAACAUUUCAGUAUUGGAAAAUUGUAUUCGCAAGAAGUUGCUGUGACUCUGGGUUCUCUUUUUGGCUUAUUUUUUUGUUUGCAUGUUUAUUUAACCUGCUUUUUCCAGCCUUAUUCCCUUUGUGGCCUCUUUAUAUCUUCUAUACUCUGUGCAAAGAAGACACCAAAUAUGCCUCUUUCUGUCCCCCUAAUUUACAUGUGCUCAAGUCACUCCCUCCACCAGGAAUGCCAGACUACCCAUCUCCACCUGCUGAUAUUUUUUUAAGUGCAUCUAAGUGCCACCCCUACAAGGAGCCUUUCUUCAUUUAGCCCCUGCAAGCAGAUGUGACCUCCUCUGAGCCCGAAUGCUUGGAGCACCUUCGGUUACCAGGCCGGAUCCUGAAUUAACAGAGGUUUUCAGGACAGUGGACGACGCUGUGAUGAACAUCCUUGUGUAGAGAGAAUUCUUUCUGGAAUAAGAAAGAAACAGACUGAAAAAUCAGUACGUACGAUUUUGGAGGCCCUGUAGGGUCACAAUUAUGCUAAAAAAUGCACACCACAACAAAGUAAGAGUUCAGCCAACAUUCACACAGGUAAUUUCUGGGCAGAAGGACAGAGGUGGUUUUAUUCUUUUGUUUACUCUUCUGUCCUUCCAGAUUUUUCUAUUGUAAGUCUGUCUUACCACGGUCUUUCGUUACAUUGACUCAGGUAGAAAUGUGUUUUUAGAAUGCCUGAAAAAGAUGGGUUUUUUUAACCACUCCAGUGUCACCUCUAGCGACGCUCUCUUGCCUGUUUCCUCUGCACCACACUUGGUUCCAUCACUGGCCACUGUCAUAUGUCUUCACGUCCCCUCCAUCAGAGGACUGUCAGUCCCUCCAUCCUGUCCCCACGUUAGCACCAGCUGGACCCCACAGCUGUUCAGCGGGUGUUGCUGACUGACUUGGAGGGUGAAUUGGAGGCCAGGUACUAAUGGUCCAUUGUCCUAGGGUUGCCGCCUCAGGUGGCACCUGCAUUUAACACAGCCUGGACAUCUCUGUGUUGUGAGCAAAGUGGUUUCCAGCUUGUGAGGAAGAAGCCUUGAGGGUCACCCAGGACAAGGAGGCCUUUCCUGCCUCAGGCUCAUCAGAAGACCCCAGUCCGUCUAUUUUCAGAUAGGCAGUCGCCUGUCCUCAGCUUCCAGCAAAGACCUGGCCAGAGGGAAGCUUGUUGUCCCCUCCCUCAGAAAGUCGACAAGGACGCAGAGGAUGUCUUCAGUAUUUCCAUUUAGAUAACUGAGUGGGCUGAUUUAUGUUUGGUUAGGGCUGAGACACUUCCUCUUUCAUUUGUGUCUCAUUAAACUCCUCCACCCCCAUCUUUUCGGAAACUGAAAAGGGGAACGUGAAAGAAAAACUGAAAAUUUCAGAAGUACCUACAGCACGGGAGACCACACUGGCGUCCUUCAGUGUAGGGAAAUCACCUGGGGGGGUCACGGCAUCCUACCGAGGUCACAGAGGCCGCUUCACCUACUCUUUCUGCCUUUCCUCAAGCCAUGUUUGUUAGUUCCCACCAGGUAGUCCCAAUGCUGCGGGAGAUCCUUGGGACCCCCUAUUUAUUUUUUAGGAGCGACAUUCUUAAA